rnacentral:rRNA from 1 species
UACGGGAGGCAGCAGUGGGGAAUAUUGGACAAUGGGCGAAAGCCUGAUCCAGCCAUGCCGCAUGAGUGAAGAAGGCCUUCGGGUUGUAAAGCUCUUUUAGUGAGAAAGAUAAUGACGGUACUCACAGAAGAAGUCCUGGCUAACUCCGUGCCAGCAGCCGCGGUAAUACGGAGAGGGCUAGCGUUAUUCGGAAUUAUUGGGCGUAAAGAGCGCGUAGGCUGAUUAGUAGUUAAAAGUGAAAUCCCAAAGCUUAACUUUGGAAUUGCUUUUUAAAACUGCUAGUCUAGAGAUUGAAAGAGGAUAGAGGAAUUCCUAGUGUAGAGGUGAAAUUCGUAAAUAUUAGGAGGAACACCAGUGGCGAAGGCGUCUAUCUGGUUCAAAUCUGACGCUGAGGCGCGAAGGCGUGGGGAGCAAACAGGGAUUAGAUACCCGU